UACGUAGGGUGCAAGCGUUUGUCCGGAAUUAUUGGGCGUAAAGAGCUCGUAGGCGGUUUGUCGCGUCUGCUGUGAAAACGCGAGGCUCAACCUCGCGCCUGCAGUGGGUACGGGCAGACUAGAGUGUGGUAGGGGAGAUUGGAAUUCCUGGUGUAGCGGUGGAAUGCGCAGAUAUCAGGAGGAACACCGGUGGCGAAGGCGGGUCUCUGGGCAGUAACUGACGCUGAGGAACGAAAGCGUGGGUAGCGAACAGG
rnacentral:rRNA from 1 species